GAAUAAUAAUAAUAAUAAAUCUAUUACGAUGGCAACAAUUAGUAACAUGACAAAGUCCAAACAAAGUAUGAAUUUAAAUACAUACAAAUGCGCCUUAUGGGAGAAGCACUUUUAAAGAUUUUUCUUUAAAAGAACAAUGCUAAGAUAAGCUAGCUAGCUAGCUAGUUCUACGCUAUUAUUUACAAUUUUGAAGCAUUUGAGAUCGAACGCGACAGGGGCCGCAGGGUUAAACUUUACACAAACCAAAAACUAGUAAGAAAAGCAAACCUGCAAAAAUCAAGGGCUGAUUUCGCAACUCCAGCAGCGAGAGAAAAGCCCCAUCAUUCCUGCCUCCACAGGCUGAGCAAUGUCCUUCUCUCGAUUAUGCAAUACUCUUACAAAUUCCUCAGCACUCAGUUCGCCAUCUAAAUUUGUAUCGAACAUAUGAAAAAUUAUGUCCACAACCUCGUCUGAGAGAUUGAUGCCACACACCUUGCAUGCAGCCCGCUGAAAAUCGCUCUUCAUCAGAAGGCCGUUUACCUUUCCGUAACUAAAUAAUGCCAGAGAAAAUGGUUGCAAUUUUCUACGAAGGGUGUCGAAAUCCUUGAAUUCCUCCCAUGAUAUACGAAUGUCCCUAAAAUGUGGUUCAUUGUCCAUUAUACUAACUCGAUCAAGCAACUCACGUAAACGAGACGAGUCAGCUGAGGCAACCAUGGACAAUGCAAAGUCCUUUGCGGAUAUGGUUCCUCUUAAUUUAUAGUCAUAAUGUGCAAACUCCAAUCUCAACAUCUCAAUCUGCAGAUCUUUCAUAAAUUGGACAAAUUUUUCAAGUCGGAGGCCUGCGUUUCCAUCUUUACCAAAGAAGUACUCUACUAGGCCUCCAUUUUCCACACAGCCAUCAAAGAUUAAUCUGCUACGAUGUCCAUUUCUAUGUUGAGCACCUUGUCGGUUAUGAGACCGCAUCAAAGCCAUCACUUUCUUGAAUUCUUCCAUAUCAAUCUCUCCAUCAUUGUUGAGGUCAAACAUUUUAAACGUCACAAUAAAACUUGCUUCUGGGAUGCUGAGUAGUGUUUUUAAAAAGAUAUACUCUUUAAAAGAAACAUGCCCAUCAUUGUUUGUAUCAAAAAGCAUGAGCAAAUCAGAGGGGGCACAACGUAGAUCCCCAGGGUUCCUUUCCCCACUCAAAUAUCCAUCUCUUACAAGAUGUGACUCAGAAGGCGGAAAGACAGGAAUCACUGCCCGCAUUAGAUCCAUUGGUCUCAUGAGUAAUUCUCCAUCUGGAGCACGAAAUGAUGCAAAAUACUCAAAGACCUUCUCAGGAGGACUGUACAAUCGAAUGCGUUUUUCAUAAUUGAAGAAUACCUUUCGACGAAACUCAUCUCCAAACAGAAACUUGGAGGAUAUUUCAGGCAGAGAAAAUUUCCUUAAAAACGAAGUCGAACACGGCUGCUGGACAACGGCAUCUUCAUCACUAUCCACAACAGUUGAAUCAGCAAAAGCUAAUGCUGGAGUAGCAGAAGUAGCAGACACAUAAAGAAACCCUAAUCCAGAAGCAAGCAAAAUUCCUGACGACCAUUUGAGAAAGGAAGAGAUAGAAGAAGAGAUCCGAAACCGAUCGUCAUCGGAAGUCGAAGGUGAAACCAAUGAAGAGGAUGGUUGAUUGACGGAGAGCCA
rnacentral:misc_RNA from 1 species